rnacentral:SRP_RNA from 1 species
GCUGGGCAUAGUGGCGCGUGCCUGUAACCCCAGCUACUGGGGGGGCUGAGGCAGGAGAAUCUCUUGAAUCCAGGAGGUAGAGGUUGCAGUGAGCAGAAAUCGCUCCACUGCACUCCAGCCUGGGUGACAGAGUGAGACUCUGUCUCAA